rnacentral:rRNA from 1 species
CGGCCACCUGGUCAGAAACUGACGCUGAGGUACGAAAGCGUGGGGAGCAAACAGUUAUUAGAUACCCUGGUAGUCCACGCCGUAAACGAUGUCAACUAGUUGUUCGUGUCAUAAACGAUGUGAGUAACGCAGCUAACGCACUAAGUUGACCGCCUGGGGAGUACGGCCGCAAGGUUAAAACUCAAAUGAAUUGACGGGGGCCCGCACAAGCGGUGGAGCAUGUGGUUUAAUUCGAUGCAACGCGAAGAACCUUACCAUCCCUUGACAUCCAGUGAAUUUUCUAGAGAUAGAUAAGUGCCUUCGGGAACACUGAGACAGGUGCUGCAUGGCUGUCGUCAGCUCGUGUUGUGAGAUGUUGGGUUAAGUCCCGCAACGAGCGCAACCCUUAUCCUUAGUUGCCAGCGCGUAAAGGCGGGAACUCUGGGGAGACUGCCGGUGAUAAACCGGAGGAAGGUGGGGACGACGUCAAGUCAUCAUGGCCCUUACGGGAUGGGCUACACACGUGCUACAAUGGCGCGUACAAUGGGAAGCUAACUCGCGAGAGUGUGCGGAUCUCAAAAAGCGCGUCGUAGUCCGGAUUGGAGUCUGCAACUCGACUCCAUGAAGUCGGAAUCGCUAGUAAUCGUGGAUCAGAAUGCCACGGUGAAUACGUUUCCCGGGCCUUGUACACACCGCCCGUCACACCAUGGGAGUGGGCUGCACCAGAAGUAGAUAGCUUAACCCUUCGGGAGGGCGUUUACCACGGUGUGGUUUCAUGACUGGGGGUGAAGUCGUAACA